rnacentral:rRNA from 1 species
UACGUAGGGUGCAGGCGUUAAUCGGAAUUACUGGGCGUAAAGCGUGCGCAGGCGGUCUGCUAAGAGAGAUGUGGAAUCCCCGGGCUUAACCUGGGAACUGCGUUUCUAACUGGCAGGCUUGAGUGUGGCAGAGGGGGGUGGAAUUCCACGUGUAGCAGUGAAAUGCGUAGAGAUGUGGAGGAACACCGAUGGCGAAGGCAGCCCCCUGGGCUAACACUGACGCUCAUGCACGAAAGCGUGGGGAGCAAACAGG